rnacentral:rRNA from 1 species
CACGCCCUAAACGAUGUCAACUAGGUGUUGGGAGCGCAAGUUCUUGGUACCGCAGCUAACGCGUGAAGUUGACCGCCUGGGGAGUACGGUCGCAAGAUUAAAACUCAAAGGAAUUGACGGGGACCCGCACAAGCGGUGGAUGAUGUGGAUUAAUUCGAUGCAACGCGAACAACCUUACCUACCCUUGACAUGUCCGGAAGCCUGGUGAAAGCCGGGGGUGCUCGCAAGAGAACCGGAACACAGGUGCUGCAUGGCUGUCGUCAGCUCGUGUCGUGAGAUGUUGGGUUAAGUCCCGCAACGAGCGCAACCCUUGUCCUUAGUUGCUACGCAAGGGCACUCUAAGGAGACUGCCGGUGACAAACCGGAGGAAGGUGGGGAUGACGUCAAGUCCUCAUGGCCCUUAUGGGUAGGGCUUCACACGUCAUACAAUGGUCGGUACAGAGGGUAGCCAACCCGCGAGGGGGAGCCAAUCCCAGAAAGCCGAUCGUAGUCCGGAUCGCAGUCUGCAACUCGACUGCGUGAAGUCGGAAUCGCUAGUAAUCGCGGGUCAGCAUGUCGCGGUGAAUACGUUCCCGGGUCUUGUACUUCACCCGCCUCGUCGCAGCCAAAACCAA